GAUGAACGCUGGCGGCGUGCCUAAUACAUGCAAGUCGAGCGAACAGACGAGGAGCUUGCUCCUCUGACGUUAGCGGCGGACGGGUGAGUAACACGUGGAUAACCUACCUAUAAGACUGGGAUAACUUCGGGAAACCGGAGCUAAUACCGGAUAAUAUAUUGAACCGCAUGGUUCAAUAGUGAAAGACGGUUUUGCUGUCACUUAUAGAUGUAUCCGCGCCGCAUUAGCUAGUUGGUAAGGUAACGGCUUACCAAGGCGACGAUGCGUAGCCGACCUGAGAGGGUGAUCGGACACACUGGAACUGAGACACGGUCCAGACUCCUACGGGAGGCAGCAGUAGGGAAUCUUCCGCAAUGGGCGAAAGCCUGAAGGAGCAACGCCGCGUGAGUGAUGAAGGUCUUCGGAUCGUAAAACUCUGUUAUUAGGGAAGAACAAAUGUGUAAGUAACUAUGCACGGCUUGACGGUACCUAAUCAGAAAGCCACGGCUAACUACGUG
rnacentral:rRNA from 1 species